UUCUUCCUGUGGGGCCCCCCCGGGUAGAAGCAAAGGGUUUUGCAUGUCAGGCUAGAAUAUUAGGGAAAGAGGAAACAGUGUCUAAAGUGAGAUUGGGGGGUCAGAGAUAGUUCAAAAUGUAACGAUUUCCUUUUGCUUUAGGAACUGCUCUUUUCCUCUCCCCUUUCUUUUCUUUUCUUUUUUAAAGUGAAGUUUCCAAGGAGAAAAGGCAGUAUUUGCCAAAUGCUACAAUGUACUUUGCACUGAUUGGGCUCAGGACAUGAAGGCCCAGCUUUACUCUGGCAGUAAUUUAAAAUAAUAAUAGUGGUAGGGUACUUUACCACUAGGCUUUAGGUUGCUCGUUUAACGCUGCAAUAACCCUGUGAGAUGGGAAUUGUCAUCCUCUCUGCUGGGUGAGGAAGUGGAAGCUCAGAAAGGAUGAACGGCUUAUCCUCGGUGACUCGGCUGGAACUGGUUCGAGAUGGCGUUGCUGGCUAGGAGAUCCACUUUAUUUUCAGUCGAGCUUUGGAAGCAGAAGGGCUAAAGCAACCAACAAGGAACCUCAUGGCUGUAAAGUCUGUUUAUAUCCGGUAGUAGCUGCUGCUAUCGCCCAUGUCAAACCGCUGGGACAGGAAACAUAUGCAGCCAAUUGAUAAAGAGGGCAUCUGCUGUGAGCACGCUAAUCUCGAGGAGAUGGGGAUCCCAAGCCACCCGAAUUAGCCGCAGACCAGAAAGGGGCCCUUUCAGGGUUCCUCUCAGUUGCUAAGACACGCUGCUUGAAAAAAAAAAAAACACCUCCUCCCUCACCCAGAGUGGGGAAAACAGAAGCUGCCAUUGCUUAACUUCCUUAUAAAUAACCAAGCAACACCAGCAUCCGCACCUUAGUAAAGGCUGAUCUGCCAAAAAAAAAAAAAAAAAAAAAAAAAA